GAUGAACGCUGGCGGCGGGCUUAACACAUGCAAGUCGAACGGAAAGGCCCUGCUUUUGCGGGGUGCUCGAGUGGCGAACGGGUGAGUAACACGAGAGUAACCUGCCCUUGACUUUGGGAUAACUUCAGGAAACUGGGGCUCAUACCGGAUAGGAGCUCCCGCUGUAUGGUGGGGGUUGGAACGUUUCGGCGGUUGGGGAUGGACUCGUUGUUGAUCAGCUUGUUGGUGGGGUCGUGGCUAACCAAGGCUUUGACGGGUUGCUGGCCUGAGAGUGUGACCGGGCACGUGGGGACAGAGAUACGGCCCGGAGUCCUGCGGGAGGCUGCAGUGUGGAAUAUUGCACGAUGGGCGGAAGCCGGAUGCAGCAACGCUGCGUUCGGGAUGACGACCUGCGUGUUUAAGGCCGCUUUCGCCUGUGAGUGAGCGUGGGUGACGGUAAUAUAUAAAGAAGCACCGGCUAACUACGUG
rnacentral:rRNA from 1 species